GAAAAAUGGAGGGCCCAUAGCCAAAUCCACAAAAUCUCUGAAUGCAGGCUGGGCUCUCAGUUCUUUUCUGAGAUGUCCACAUGUACUUCUUAUUAAGCUUUGCUUCAAUUAAAAUGUGUGUGUGUGUGUGUGUGUGUGUGUGUGUUUGAGAGGCAGAAAGAGAGGCUCCCUUCAUCUGCUCGUUGACUCCUGCCUGGGCCUGGGCUAGGCAGGAGUCUAGAGCAGAAAUUGAAUCCAGGUCAGUCUCCCACCUGGGUGGCAGGGGCCCAAGCACUUGGACCAUCUUCUGCUGUUUUCCCAGGUGCAUUAGCAGGAAAUCGGGUAGGAAGUGAAGCUGUCUGGACUUGAACUGGAGCUCAAAUUGGAUGCUGGUGUUGAAGGUGAUGGCUUAACUUGUGCCACAACACUGGUCCUCCUGUAUAUAGUUUUAAAUUGCUUUGUCUAUGUCUGUAUUUUAUACUUGAAAUUAUUAGAAAAGAUAAAACAACUAAUUUCAACAUUUACAGAUUGUUAAAAUGGCAAUUACUAGCAAAUUAUAUAGGUGACCUAUCUGACUUUGAAUUAGUCAAGGAAAUAAUGUAUUGAAAGUUGACUAAUUUGGUAACAUAGUCUGGGGAAUUAUACCAGGAGAUAAAACAUUGAUAAUUAUGAGCUAUGCUAUAAAGUUGUAGGUGAGAAACAAAUUAGAAAGUCUAUAGCGUUAUUUUUAAUAUUUUAAUGGAUCUAGGAAAGAGUUAAAAUAUCUAAUGGGCAGCCAAUUCACUUGCUUUAUUGGGGCAUCUCCCCAUCAAGGUUAGGAGAGAAAAGAAGACAGGUGACUGUCCAAUCUUGUCAACUGGACCUCUGGUAAAUUAUAUGUUAUGCUAUGGGGAGAGACCAGGUUUAUAGAAUGCCCUUAGCAGGAUGUCCCUGGCCAGAGAAUUACUUGUAGUAAACCCAUAAUCUAUGGGUCUAUGAUUUGGGGAGUAUAAUGUGCAUGUGUUUCAAACCUGAAAUGCUUCCCUUGCUUUUGAAAUGACCUGAACCUUCAUCAGAAACUUCAACUAUUUGGCGAAGAAAAUCCUUGUCUGACCUAGGAAGGAAGGGCCCUACAUCUCUCCUUCUUCUAAGCUCAAAUUUCUGGUAUCCUUUCCACUAUCUAUAAAAUGACAUUUCUAUAGCAUGCA
rnacentral:lncRNA from 1 species